GGGUACAGGUUAGUAAUGAGGCUAUAUACAUGUGGUCGUGGUACAGAGUCAAUGUGCAGGGGUACAGGUUAGUAAUGAGGCUAUAUACAUGUGGUCGUGGUACAGAGUCAAUGUGCGGGGGUACAGGUUAGUAAUGAGGCUAUAUACAUGUGGUCGUGGUACAGAGUCAAUGUGCGGGGGUACAGGUUAGUAAUGAGGCUAUAUACAUGUGGUCGUGGUACAGAGUCAAUGUGCAGGGGUACAGGUUAGUAAUGAGGCUAUAUACAUGUGGUCGUGGUACAGAGUCAAUGUGCGGGGGUACAGGUUAGUAAUGAGGCUAUAUACAUGUGGUCGUGGUACAGAGUCAAUGUGCGGGGGUACAGGUUAGUAAUGAGGCUAUAUACAUGUGGUCGUGGUACAGAGUCAAUGUGCAGGGGUACAGGUUAGUAAUGAGGCUAUAUACAUGUGGUCGUGGUACAGAGUCAAUGUGCGGGGGUACAGGUUAGUAAUGAGGCUAUAUACAUGUGGUCGUGGUACAGAGUCAAUGUGCGGGGGUACAGGUUAGUAAUGAGGCUAUAUACAUGUGGUCGUGGUACAGAGUCAAUGUGCAGGGGUACAGGUUAGUAAUGAGGCUAUAUACAUGUGGUCGUGGUACAGAGUCAAUGUGCGGGGGUACAGGUUAGUAAUGAGGCUAUAUACAUGUGGUCGUGGUACAGAGUCAAUGUGCGGGGGUACAGGUUAGUAAUGAGGCUAUAUACAUGUGGUCGUGGUACAGAGUCAAUGUGCAGGGGUACAGGUUAGUAAUGAGGCUAUAUACAUGUGGUAGUGGUACAGAGUCAAUGUGCGGGGGUACAGGUUAGUAAUGAGGCUAUAUACAUGUGGUAGUGGUACAGAGUCAAUGUGCAGGGGUACAGGUUAGUAAUGAGGCUAUAUACAUGUGGUCGUGGUACAGAGUCAAUGUGCAGGGGUACAGGUUAGUAAUGAGGCUAUAUACAUGUGGUCGUGGUACAGAGUCAAUGUGCGGGGGUACAGGUUAGUAAUGAGGCUAUAUACAUGUGGUCGUGGUACAGAGUCAAUGUGCGGGGGUACAGGUUAGUAAUGAGGCUAUAUACAUGUGGUCGUGGUACAGAGUCAAUGUGCGGGGGUACAGGUUAGUAAUGAGGCUAUAUACAUGUGGUCGUGGUACAGAGUCAAUGUGCAGGGGUACAGGUUAGUAAUGAGGCUAUAUACAUGUGGUCGUGGUACAGAGUCAAUGUGCGGGGGUACAGGUUAGUAAUGAGGCUAUAUACAUGUGGUCGUGGUACAGAGUCAAUGUGCGGGGGUACAGGUUAGUAAUGAGGCUAUAUACAUGUGGUCGUGGUACAGAGUCAAUGUGGGGGUGUACAGGUUAGUAAUGAGGCUAUAUAUAUGUGGUCGUGGUACAGAGUCAAUGUGCAGGGGUACAGGUUAGUAAUGAGGCUAUAUACAUGUGGUCGUGGUACAGAGUCAAUGUGCAGGGGUACAGGUUAGUAAUGAGGCUAUAUACAUGUGGUCGUGGUACAGAGUCAAUGUGCGGGGGUACAGGUUAGUAAUGAGGCUAUAUACAUGUGGUCGUGGUACAGAGUCAAUGUGCGGGGGUACAGGUUAGUAAUGAGGCUAUAUACAUGUGGUCGUGGUACAGAGUCAAUGUGCGGGGGUACAGGUUAGUAAUGAGGCUAUAUACAUGUGGUCGUGGUACAGAGUCAAUGUGCAGGGGUACAGGUUAGUAAUGAGGCUAUAUACAUGUGGUCGUGGUACAGAGUCAAUGUGCGGGGGUACAGGUUAGUAAUGAGGCUAUAUACAUGUGGUCGUGGUACAGAGUCAAUGUGCGGGGGUACAGGUUAGUAAUGAGGCUAUAUACAUGUGGUCGUGGUACAGAGUCAAUGUGCAGGGGUACAGGUUAGUAAUGAGGCUAUAUACAUGUGGUCGUGGUACAGAGUCAAUGUGCGGGGGUACAGGUUAGUAAUGAGGCUAUAUACAUGUGGUCGUGGUACAGAGUCAAUGUGCGGGGGUACAGGUUAGUAAUGAGGCUAUAUACAUGUGGUCGUGGUACAGAGUCAAUGUGCAGGGGUACAGGUUAGUAAUGAGGCUAUAUACAUGUGGUAGUGGUACAGAGUCAAUGUGCGGGGGUACAGGUUAGUAAUGAGUCUAUAUACAUGUGGUCGUGGUACAGAGUCAAUGUGCAGGGGUACAGGUUAGUAAUGAGGCUAUAUACAUGUGGUCGUGGUACAGAGUCAAUGUGCAGGGGUACAGGUUAGUAAUGAGGCUAUAUACAUGUGGUCGUGGUACAGAGUCAAUGUGCAGGGGUACAGGUUAGUAAUGAGGCUAUAUACAUGUGGUAGUGGUACAGAGUCAAUGUGCGAGGGUACAGGUUAGUAAUGAGGCUAUAUACAUGUGGUCGUGGUACAGAGUCAAUGUGCAGGGGUACAGGUUAGUAAUGAGGCUAUAUACAUGUGGUCGUGGUACAGAGUCAAUGUGCAGGGGUACAGGUUAGUAAUGAGGCUAUAUACAUGUGGUAGUGGUACAGAGUCAAUGUGCAGGGGUACAGGUUAGUAAUGAGGCUAUAUACAUGUGGUAGUGGUACAGAGUCAAUGUGCAGGGGUACAGGUUAGUAAUGAGGCUAUAUACAUGUGGUAGUGGUACAGAGUCAAUGUGCAGGGGUACAGGCCAGUCCAGAUCAUUGAGGUAAUAUGUACAACUGAGAUGUGUUGUUGCGGUACAUGACAAGCACUGCAUGCUGUGGUUUCACACGUUGCCAAAACAGGACUGUCAUGGCUUUGACAGUGACAUAUGAGCUGGGGGUAUUGUCUAUGAGUGGGUUCUCCUGGCACUGAACAGUGUAUAGACGUGGUUGCACUGUGAUCUGAUCAACCACAGUAGAGAUGUGGGCUCAAUCACUAGAUCAACGUCAUACAUCACACCACUCACGACACUGGGGGUGUGGUAACGACAUGGAGGUGAUACUCUAUGUGGGGUCUCUGUCUUUCUCUCUCACUUGGUCUGUCUGUCUCUCAUUCUCUCUCUUUUCCUCUUUCUCUCUCACCAUCAUAGAGAACACACAGGACGGGGUCUUUUACACCCUGAUGUUCUCCAUUCAGCAGCUGGAGGCUGACACAAACACACUAUAAAUCACACACCACUGACAGCUCUACUAGGGAGAGAAGCUCACAGUCACACCAUCAAACCUCCUCUUGAAUAUUCCCAUCCCUUUCUCUUUCGCUCUACUCCUGUCUCUCUCUCCAUUUCCCUCUCUCUCUCUUCCCUCUGGGUGGUCAUUUUGUUGUGAAAGCGCAGCCGACUACAUCAAACCCCUCCACUCACCUCUCUCUAUAUGCUUUGCUCGCUGCUCUUACCUUUUUUUGUUUAGGGUGCGUUGUAAUCAAAUAAGCGGGGUCCCCGGGUACCUGUGGGGAUUGGGUGUGUUAUGACAGUGACACGGAAAGGGAAUGGGAGUGUGCUCUGGUGAUCAGGCCGGGCGGGCUGGGAGAGCGAAUGGGAGAGCAGCGCUGCAUGUCUCUCUGUACUCUGUCACCCAUGGCACAGUCCGUCUGGGGCCCCUGAGCUCAUCUGGCCCUCAACACUCCUCUACGCCCCAUAGAGUCUGUACGGAUCUCACUGCUGUGCCUCAGGCCCCCUCUCUGUUCUCUCUCUGGGUGUGCACGUGCAUAGUAUGUGAGUGCACAUUUUUAUAUCAUAUUGUAUAUAGCUAACCCCAUGUUCUAUUCCACAGGAUAUACUUACACCACUUUGUGUCCCAUUCUAUAGU